UACGGGGGGGGCAAGCGUUGUUCGGAAUUACUGGGCGUAAAGGGCCAGUAGGCGGCCAACUAAGUCGGAUGUGAAAUCCCCAGGCUCAACUUGGGAACUGCAUCCGAUACUGGAUGGCUUGAAUUCGGGAGAGGGAUGCAGAAUUCCAGGUGUAGCGGUGAAAUGCGUAGAUAUCUGGAGGAAUACCGGUGGCGAAGGCGGCAUCCUGGACCGACAUUGACGCUGAACGGCGAAAGCUAGG
rnacentral:rRNA from 1 species